rnacentral:rRNA from 1 species
AGAGGUUUGAUCCUGGCUCAGAACGAACGCUGGCGGCAUGCCUAACACAUGCAAGUCGAACGAGACCUUCGGGUCUAGUGGCGCACGGGUGCGUAACGCGUGGGAAUCUACCCUUGGGUUCGGAAUAACAGCGAGAAAAUUGCUGCUAAUACCGGAUGAUGGCUUCGGCCCAAAGAUUUAUCGCCCAGGGAUGAGCCCGCGUAGGAUUAGCUUGUUGGUGAGGUAAAGGCUCACCAAGGCGACGAUCCUUAGCUGGUCUGAGAGGAUGAUCAGCCACACUGGGACUGAGACACGGCCAGACUCCUACGGGAGGCAGCAGUGGGGAAUAUUGGACAAUGGGCGAAAGCCUGAUCCAGCAAUGCCGCGUGAGUGAUGAAGGCCUUAGGGUUGUAAAGCUCUUUUACCCGGGAUGAUAAUGACAGUACCGGGAGAAUAAGCUCCGGCUAACUCCGUGCCAGCAGCCGCGGUAAUACGGAGGGAGCUAGCGUUGUUCGGAAUUACUGGGCGUAAAGCGCACGUAGGCGGCUAUUCAAGUCAGAGGUGAAAGCCCGGAGCUCAACUCCGGAAUUGCCUUUGAAACUAGAUAGCUAGAAUCUGGGAGAGGUGAGUGGAAUUCCGAGUGUAGAGGUGAAAUUCGUAGAUAUUCGGGAAGA